rnacentral:rRNA from 1 species
UACGAAGGGGGCUAGCGUUGUUCGGAUUUACUGGGCGUAAAGCGCACGUAGGCGGAUUCUUAAGUCAGGGGGUGAAAUCCCGAGGCUCAACCUCGGAACUGCCUUUGAUACUGGGGAUCUCGAGUUCGGGAGAGGUGAGUGGAAUUGCGAGUGUAGAGGUGAAAUUCGUAGAUAUUCGCAAGAACACCAGUGGCGAAGGCGGCUCACUGGCCCGAUACUGACGCUGAGGUGCGAAAGCGUGGGGAGCAAACAGG